GUGAGGAAUUUUCCGCAAUGGGCGAAAGCCUGACGGAGCAAUGCCGCGUGAAGGAUGAAGGCCUAUGGGUUGUAAACUUCUUUUCUCAGAAAAGAAUUAUGACGGUAUCUGAGGAAUAAGCAUCGGCUAACUCUGUGCCAGCAGCCGCGGUAAGACAGAGGAUGCAAGCGUUAUCCGGAAUGAUUGGGCGUAAAGCGUCUGUAGGUUGUUUAAAAAGUAUUCUGUCAAAGAUUAGGGCUUAACCCUAGAUAGGCAGAAUAAACUUUUAAGCUAGAGUUUGGUAGAGGCAGAGGGAAUUCCCGGUGGAGCGGUGAAACGCGUAGAUAUCGGGAGGAACACCAAAGGCGAAGGCACUCUGCUGGGCCAAUACUAACACUGAGAGACGAAAGCGAGGGGAGCAAAUGGGAUUAGAAACCCCUGUAGUCC
rnacentral:rRNA from 1 species